UACGUAGGCAGCAAGCGUUGUUCGGAGUUACUGGGCGUAAAGGGUGCGUAGGCGGUUGUUUAAUUUUGGUGUGAAAUCUCCCGGCUCAACUGGGAGGGUGCGCCGAAUACUGAAUGACUAGAGUGCGGGAGAGGAGAGUGGAAUUCCUGGUGUAGCGGUGAAAUGCGCAGAUAUCAGGAGGAACACCGGUGGUGUAGACGGCUCUCUGGACCGUAACUGACGCUGAGGCACGAAAGCGUGGGUAGCAAACAGG
rnacentral:rRNA from 1 species